rnacentral:rRNA from 1 species
AUUGAACGCUGGCGGCAUGCCUUACACAUGCAAGUCGAGCGCGAAAGGGGGCAACCCCGAGUAGAGCGGCGGACGGGUGAGUAACGCAUCGGAACGUGCCCAGUAGUGGGGGACAACCUCGAGAAAUCGAGGCUAAUACCGCAUACGACCCACGGGUGAAAGCGGGGACCGCAAGGCCUCGCGCUAUUGGAGCGGCCGAUGUCCGAUUAGCUAGUUGGCGGGGUAAGAGCCCACCAAGGCGACGAUCGGUAGCUGGUCUGAGAGGACGACCAGCCACACUGGGACUGAGACACGGCCCAGACUCCUACGGGAGGCAGCAGUGGGGAA